rnacentral:rRNA from 1 species
ACAAUAAAUCACAAUGCGGAACUUCUGUUUUGCAAUUGGAUUGAGAACAACGCACAACACUUAUCGAUAAACAAUUGGAGGGCAAGUCUGGUGCCAGCAGCCGCGGUAAUUCCAGCUCCAAUAGCGUAUAUUAACGUUGUUGCAGUUAAAAAGCUCGUAGUUGAAGUGAAGUGUGAAUCUCUAGGAUUUUCGUUUGAAUUUCCUUUAGCUUCAUACUCUUUCCAAAUAGUUUGCAUGGGUAUUUACUUAUCUGUGUAUUGCAUUUGGUCAUUUACUGUGAGAAAAUUAGAGUGUUCAAAGCAUACGUUUGUUUGAAUACAUUAGCAUGGAAUAAUUCGAAAAGGCUUUCAUGUUCGAUUUGAUUGGUUUGUUCGUGAAGGCAAGAUUAAAAGGGACAGUUGGGGGUAUUCAUAUUCAAUAGUCAGAGGUGAAAUUCUCGGAUUUAUGGAAGAUGAACAA